GGCAUGAUGGUCUAGCGGUAUGAUUCUCGCUUUGGGUGUGAGAGGUCCCGGGUUCAAAUCCCGGUCCUGCCC
rnacentral:tRNA from 1 species